rnacentral:lncRNA from 1 species
AUCCCAGGUGAUCCCAGGUGUGCCCAGGUGUGCCCAGGUGUGCCCAGGUGAACUGACCUGUCCCGCCCCGCAGUGACAACGGCGGCCCCGCCGGGCGGAGCCAGAGCGUCGCCAUCGCCGUCAGGUACCAGGUGUUCCUGGUGCUGGCCAGCUCCCCCGACUCCACGCGUUACCUGAACGUCACCAAGGGCGGGGCCCUUCCCCCCUCUGCCCCCGUCACCCACCACUACCAGGUGAAGGUCCUGGGCCAGCGCGGCGUCGCCGCCAACGUUUCCUUCCUGGUCCCGUCUCACCUGGGCCCGGAGCCGCUCUGGGAGCACCUGGAGCUCACAC